rnacentral:rRNA from 1 species
AGCGAACGCUGGCGGCAGGCCUAAUACAUGCAAGUCGAACGGUCUCUUCGGAGGCAGUGGCGGACGGGUGAGUAACGCGUGGGAAUAUGCCCUUUGGUACGGAACAACUGAGGGAAACUUCAGCUAAUACCGUAUGUGCCCUUCGGGGGAAAGAUUUAUCGCCAUUGGAGUAGCCCGCGUUGGAUUAGGUAGUUGGUGGGGUAAAGGCCUACCAAGCCUACGAUCCAUAGCUGGUCUGAGAGGAUGAUCAGCCACACUGGGACUGAGACACGGCCCAGACUCCUACGGGAGGCAGCAGUAGGGAAUCUUGCGCAAUGGGCGAAAGCCUGACGCAGCCAUGCCGCGUGAAUGAUGAAGGUCUUAGGAUUGUAAAAUUCUUUCACCGGGGAAGAUAAUGACGGUACCCGGAGAAGAAGCCCCGGCUAACUUCGUGCCAGCAGCCGCGGUAAU